GGUUGUAUGGUGUAGUGGUUAGCACUUUGGAUUUUGACUUGCCUCAAAAUGUUUCCAGGAAAUUUCAUUCCAACGACCCCGGUUCGAGCCCGGGUACGACCU